GACGAACGCUGGCGGCGUGCUUAACACAUGCAAGUCGAACGGAAAGGCCCCUUUGGGGGUACUCGAGUGGCGAACGGGUGAGUAACACGUGAGUAACCUUCCCUUGACUUCGGGAUAACUUCAGGAAACUGGGGCUAAUACCGGAUAGGAAUCCUUGCUGCAUGGUGGGGGUUGGAAAGCUUCGGCGGUUUUGGAUGGACUCGCGGCUUAUCAGCUUGUUGGUGGGGUAGUGGCUUACCAAGGCUUUGACGGGUAGCCGGCCUGAGAGGGCGACCGGCCACAUUGGGACUGAGAUACGGCCCAGACUCCUACGGGAGGCAGCAGGGGGGAAUAUUGCACCAUGGGCGGAAGCCUGAUGCAGCAACGCCGCGUGCGGGAUGACGGCCUUCGGGUUGUAAACCGCUUUCAGCAGGGGCGAAGCUUGUGGUGACGGUACCUGCAGAAGAAGCACCGGCUAACUACGUG
rnacentral:rRNA from 1 species